rnacentral:lncRNA from 1 species
CAUUACCGAUAUGGUGAUCUCUUCACGGCCGUAAGUCCGCUUGAGAGCCGGGCCGUUGCCGUCGAGCGAGCCCUGGACGACUGUGAAGGGCGAUGGAGGGUUGAUUUUUGGGGGAGGGUUCAUUUUCUGGACAUCGAUAUAGUGUUCCUUGAGGGACCGCAGGAUAACGGUGUCGACGGCGGUGGAAGGGGAUGCGGUGGUUGAGUGGGGGCGUGCUAUCGUGCGCCACGGGUGGUGAAGUGCGGCACCGAAGCCUCUUGCCGCUGCUGUUGCUAUGGCUUUCCUCCACAUUUUUGUCUGUGAUUUCGGCAGUGGCUCUACGUCCCACUGCGACGGUGCCGGCUUCUGCUUCUACCACCUAAGCGGCUUUUCUCCAAAGUUCGAAAACCGUCGCCCCUUCUUUGUAAU